GAUGAACGCUAGCGGCAGGCUUAAUACAUGCAAGUCGAGGGGCAGCAGCUUUAUAGCAAUAUAGAGGCUGGCGACCGGCAAACGGGUGCGGAACACGUACACAACCUUCCUUUAAGAGGGGGAUAGCCCAUAGAAAUGUGGAUUAAUACCCCGUAACAUAUCGGUGUGGCAUCACACUGUUAUUAUAGUUUCGACGCUUGAAGAUGGGUGUGCGGCUGAUUAGGUAGUUGGCGGGGUAAAGGCCCACCAAGCCUUCGAUCAGUAGCUGAUGUGAGAGCACGAUCAGCCAAACGGGCACUGAGACACGGGCCCGACUCCUACGGGAGGCAGCAGUAAGGAAUAUUGGUCAAUGGACGCAAGUCUGAACCAGCCAUGCCGCGUGAAGGAUGAAGGUCCUCUGGAUUGUAAACUUCUUUUAUAGGGGGCGAAAAAAGGGAAUUCUUUCUCACUUGACAGUACCCUAUGAAUAAGCACCGGCUAACUCCGUGCCAGCAGCCGCAGUAA
rnacentral:rRNA from 1 species